ensembl:processed_transcript C030005K06Rik uncharacterized LOC115065518
UCCGCUUCGGAGAGCAUGCUGUCGGGGUGCACAGCCACAGGCGCCACCGCCACGGACAUGGACGUGAGGCUGCGAGGCUCCUAGACGAGCUAGUGAUACAGAUGCUGUGCUAGCUGCGUUUGGAGGGGGUCCUGGUCACAAAGCAAAACUUCACCAGCGCCAGGACCGGCCUCUAAGGAAAGUAGGGCAGGAUAGGCAGAGGGCCUUUAUGCAUGGCUGGCUCUCUCUCUAACCAAGCUGCUAGGAGCUAAAGGCCUCUCUGGCUUUGGGAAAUGCUGACAGGCAGGAGAUAAAAGGGCAAAGGGCGGCAGGACCGAGACAACAGCAGCCAUCCUGUCCUCUCCCCUCCCCUCCCCUUCCCCCCUCCCAACCUGGCUUCCACCUCUAGUUCAGAGGAAGUCAUCUUAACUCUGGGGUGGCUACACCCGCUCCCACCAGCCUACCUGUCUCACAGAGAUUGUUUUUACAGGGCCUUGUUUUAGCAUCAACCCUAGAGUGAGGGGCUCCAAGUAAAAUGCCUGAAAGGAAAACAGCCAAUGGAAAGAAAUCUCUGGCUGGAGAGUGUUACCUUCUCCUAUAACUGAGAAAGGACCUUAAGAAAAAAAAAAACCUCAAACAUCCAUUUGCUUAUCUAUAAAAUGAAGACAAAAGCAAUAUGUGAUUCACAGAUUUGUCUGGUUAUUACAGAUGGCACUAUAAACAAAGUGAUUUGAAACUCUAAGUUCUGCACACGGGUCGUCACUAACUAUUGCACCUCAUUACAAUAAACUUUGU